rnacentral:lncRNA from 1 species
UGCGGGUUACAUCUCCAUGCUUUAACCUCACACACAUGAAAAUAAUCAAGACUUUCUUUUUCUAUUACACUACUUGUCAAGACUUCUUAAUCAAUGAAUUUUGCUUAAUACAUCUUUUGGUUUCACUAUUUAUAGCAAUUGUUUAAUGUUUUCUUCUCAAUUUUUUUCACUGAAUAUGGCCAUAAUAUAUAUUAGAAUAAGUUAUGUGAUCUUUUUCGUUAGAACAUCAUUAGCGUUG